rnacentral:rRNA from 1 species
UAGGGAAUUUUCGGCAAUGGGCGAAAGCCUGACCGAGCAACGCCGCGUGAGUGAUGAAGGCCUUCGGGUUGUAAAGCUCUGUUGUCAGGGAAGAAUGAUCAGGAUAGGAAAUGAUCUUGAAGUGACGGUACCUGACCAGAAAGCCACGGCUAACUACGUGCCAGCAGCCGCGGUAAUACGUAGGUGGCAAGCGUUAUCCGGAAUUAUUGGGCGUAAAGGGUGCGUAGGCGGUUUAGUGUGUCUCAUGUGAAAUCUCAGGGCUUAACCCUGGGCUGCAUGAGAAACUAUUAGACUAGAGUGCAGGAGAGGGCAACGGAAUUCCAUGUGUAGCGGUAAAAUGCGUAGAUAUAUGGAGGAACACCGGUGGCGAAGGCGGUUGCCUGGCCUGUAACUGACGCUG